rnacentral:tRNA from 1 species
AACGUAUUUAGUAAACUUAUGUUACGGCCAUAAGAUUUGAUGUAUAUAACGUCAUACGUUU